AUUGCUUGGGCUGCCUGUGAGGUUCACAUUCGCUACCAGAGCAGCACAAAACUGCCACAUUGAAGUGCCGGAAAAUAUCCAUUCAGAAUGAAACGUAAAAGAAAGACUCAAACAAGGCAUCAGUUAUCAAGAGCCUGGACCAAAUCCUCCACUGUUGGCCUGUCUGUUGACACUUUACUUUGAUAAACCAGCUUCAUGUUGCCAUGACAAUCAAUGAUGAAGUCGCCGCCCAUUUGUGAAGGAUCAUCUUCUUCGAAUAAACCAAAAAGCUUCCUUCCUUUUCGUUUCUGUUCAGCAUAAUAAACCAAUGCAAUUGUGCACCACGUUUUAGCGACUGACCUGUGAAGUCCUAGUGCCUGGUACAGCUUUCUUUCAUGGUCGAUAAACAUUUCAAACUCACAUUUGGUUUGUUCGAGCCAUUUAUUUGCUCCUUCCUAGAAAGAUAAAGUCAAAAACGAUAAGAUAGUACUCUAAAAGCAAUGAGGUAUUGUGGCUAAAAUGUUAGUCCAACAUAUAUAGGCAACUUAGAUUUUUAUUUUUUCAGCCAAUCAUGGUGUAGUUUUUAGGUGCAGCUGCAGAAAUCAUAAUGAAAAUGGCCUUAAUUGGGAGAGGGUGACACGUGACAGUAAUUGCAAGUUGGCACCAAUAAACUUGUGGUCCUCUUUUUAACGUCUCUGAAUAAGAUGGGACCGCCAUUUUACGUGGUCAUCUGAGUCAUAGCGAAGGACUAACCAUUUGUAGGCAAUUUUAGAGCAUAGGCAGCACCUUCUACUCUGAUAUUUUAAGACCCUGAGUAUAUGACUUAGGCUUGAACCAAUGACACCCCCCCCCCCCCUGCACAAUAAAUCGGUACCCAGCCAAAUGAGCCAACCGGGAGGGGGUUAGAGGUAUCCAAUAAAACACUUGCAUAUAUUGAAAGCCAUUUGAAA